CCUACGGGUGGCAGCAGUGGGGAAUAUUGCACAAUGGGCGCAAGCCUGAUGCAGCCAUGCCGCGUGUGUGAAGAAGGCCUUCGGGUUGUAAAGCACUUUCAGCGGGGAGGAAGGCGUUAAGGUUAAUAACCUUGGCGAUUGACGUUACCCGCAGAAGAAGCACCGGCUAACUCCGCGCCAGCAGCCGCGGUAAUACGGAGGGUGCAAGCGUUAAUCGGAAUUACUGGGCGUAAAGCGCACGCAGGCGGUCUGUCAAGUCGGAUGUGAAAUCCCCGGGCUCAACCUGGGAACUGCAUUCGAAACUGGCAGGCUAGAGUCUUGUAGAGGGGGGUAGAAUUCCAGGUGUAGCAGUGAAAUGCGUAGAGAUCUGGAGGAAUACCGGUGGCGAAGGCGGCCCCCUGGACAAAGACUGACGCUCAGGUGCGAAAGCGUGGGGAGCAAACAGGAUUAGAUACCCGGGUAGUC
rnacentral:rRNA from 1 species